AGGAACAAACAAAUCAUAAUGAUUUUUAUCUCUAUUUCCAGUCAUCUUUUGAUGUUUUGUAAUGGCUUCAUCAGAAUUCU
rnacentral:tRNA from 1 species